AGGACGUAUGACAGAUUCCACUCCACCACAUGUCUUCAUGAGAAGAGGCAAUACCAAGAAAUGCAAGCAGGCACCCAGCAACCCAGAGGCACGACAACAAGUGGGAGGAGCCACUGCAAAAAAAUGGAACAGGAAAAACAAAGAGCACAGCCGCAGUCCUGAGGCAGGCUGGAAUUUAAGUUCUUUGGAAGACAGAUGUAUCCAAUUCAGCCUGGGGUUCAAAGACCAUAACAUACUGAACACUCUGAAGUGCUGGGGGUGUUCAGGAGUCUGAUUUCUGGGUGGAUGUGUUGGAACUCCUCACCAGCUACAGGAUGGCCGAGAACUGCAAAUAUUCCUGCUAAGAUUCAGGCAGCUGGAAGUUCAGCUGGCGUUUACGUGAGCUGAAAGGAGAGAUCAAGGUGGGUGAGCAAUGGCCUCCGUUGUAGAGAAGGGCUUCUCUGCUCUCUAAUGUGCUCUUCCCAGGCAUCUACUGCCCACUGCCGGGUGCCCAGCUGACCUGUACCCACCAGAGGUGCCAGCGAGGAAGACCCAGAGUUUGCCACCAAGGUGCUCAUUGGUUUAAUAAGUCACGUUCACAAAGAUAAUACAUGCUGUUCAAGUUAAGUCCAAAAUGUUACAGAAGCACAGUGCGUGUAGCUGCUUAAGUUUCUGGGAACGUGGGGAAGUUUCCCUAAAAGAGGUUGUUAUGGACCGAAUGUUUGUGUCCCCCCAAAAUUCAUAUGUGGAAGCCCUAAGUCCCCAGUGGGAUGGUAUUUGGAGAUAGGGCCUUUGGGAAGUGAUUAGGUUUAGAUGAGGCCGUGAAGCUGGGGCCCUCAUGGUAGGAUUAGGGUGGGCUUAUAAGAAGAGGAAGAGACACCAGAGCUUUCUCCCUCUGCCAUGUGAGGACACGGUGAGAAGAAGGCGGCUGUCUGCAAGCCAGGAACAGAGCCCUCUCCAAGAACCAAACCUGCAGGCACCUCGAGCUUGCACUGCUCAGCCUCCAGAACUGUGGGAAAUAAAUGUGUGUCGUCACCCA
rnacentral:lncRNA from 1 species